rnacentral:rRNA from 1 species
UAUAAAGAAAAGGCACCCUUAUUCCUGCUCCACCAUUCUUUCAAUAGCUGUGGUAUUUUGACAACGCAAAGGUUUUGAAAUAAGAUUUUUAUUGAAUUUUACCCGAAUGGAAGUCCCAUAAAAAACUCUUUUAAAAUUAAAAAUUGAAGUUUUUUUAAUUUGUGCAGAAACAAUUAUUUAUAUUAAAGACAAGAAGACCCUAUGAAUUUAUUAAAUUUUUAUUUAAUAUGUAAUUACUAUUAGAAAAAUUUUGGCUGGGGCGGCUAGAAAAUAUUAUGAACUUUUUAAAAAUAAAAUGAUCCAUAUAAUACGCGG